UACGAAGGGGGCGAGCGUUGUUCGGAUUUACUGGGCGUAAAGGGCGCGCAGGCGGUCUUGAAAGUCAGGCGUGAAAGCCCCGGGCUUAACCUGGGAAUUGCGCUUGAUACUCUGAGACUGGAGUACGGGAGAGGAGAGUGGAAUUCCCAGUGUAGAGGUGAAAUUCGUAGAUAUCGGGAGGAACACCGGUGGCGAAGGCGGUUCUCUGGGCCUGUACUGACGCUGAGGAGCGAAAGCUAGGGGAGCGAACGGG
rnacentral:rRNA from 1 species